GAUGAACGCUGGCGGCGUGCUUAACACAUGCAAGUCGAACGGUGAACGAGGGAGCUUGCUCCCUCCGGAUCAGUGGCGAACGGGUGAGUAACACGUGAGCAAUCUGCCCUGGACUCUGGGAUAAGCGUUGGAAACGACGUCUAAUACCGGAUACGAGACGCGAAGGCAUCUUCAGCGUCUGGAAAGAACUUCGGUCCAGGAUGAGCUCGCGGCCUAUCAGGUAGUUGGUGAGGUAAUGGCUCACCAAGCCUACGACGGGUAGCCGGCCUGAGAGGGUGACCGGCCACACUGGGACUGAGACACGGCCCAGACCCCUACGGGAGGCAGCAGUGGGGAAUAUUGGACAAUGGGCGGAAGCCUGAUCCAGCAACGCCGCGUGAGGGAUGACGGCCUUCGGGUUGUAAACCUCUUUUAGCAGGGAAGAAGCGAAAGUGACGGUACCUGCAGAAAAAGCACCGGCUAACUCUGUGCCAGCAGCCGCCGAAAAAC
rnacentral:rRNA from 1 species